AAUAACGGUGCCCGUACCGCAAACCGACACAGGUAGUCAAGAUGAGAAUUCUAAGGUGAGCGAGCGAACUCUCGUUAAGGAACUCGGCAAAAUGACCCCGUAACUUCGGGAGAAGGGGUGCUCUUUGAGGUUCACGCUUCGAAGAGCCGCAGUGAAUAGGCCCAAGCGACUGUUUAUCAAAAACACAGGUCUCUGCUAAACCGUAAGGUGACGUAUAGGGGCUGACGCCUGCCCGGUGCUGGAAGGUUAAGAGGAGUGGUUAGCGCAAGCGAAGCUACGAAUCGAAGCCCCAGUAAACGGCGGCCGUAACUAUAACGGUCCUAAGGUAGCGAAAUUCCUUGUCGGGUAAGUUCCGACCCGCACGAAAGGCGUAACGAUUUGGGCACUGUCUCAACGAGAGACUCGGUGAAAUCAUAGUACCGGUGAAGAUGCCGGUUACCCGCGACAGGACGGAAAGACCCCGUGGAGCUUUACUGUAGCCUGAUAUUGAAAUUCGGUACAGUUUGUACAGGAUAGGUAGGAGCCUUAGAAGCGUGAGCGCUAGCUUACGUGGAGGCAUUGGUGGGAUACUACCCUAAUUGUAUUGGAUUUCUAACCCGCAGCACUUAUCGUGCUGGGAGACAGUGUCAGGCGGGCAGUUUGACUGGGGCGGUCGCCUCCUAAAGAGUAACGGAGGCGCUCAAAGGUUCCCUCAGAAUGGUUGGAAAUCAUUCAUAGAGUGUAAAGGCAUAAGGGAGCUUGACUGCGAGACCUACAAGUCGAGCAGGGUCGAAAGACGGACUUAGUGAUCCGGUGGUUCCGCAUGGAAGGGCCAUCGCUCAACGGAUAAAAGCUACCCCGGGGAUAACAGGCUUAUCUCCCCCAAGAGUUCACAUCGACGGGGAGGUUUGGCACCUCGAUGUCGGCUCAUCGCAUCCUGGGGCUGUAGUCGGUCCCAAGGGUUGGGCUGUUCGCCCAUUAAAGCGGUACGCGAGCUGGGUUCAGAACGUCGUGAGACAGUUCGGUCCCUAUCCGUCGUGGGCGUAGGAAAUUUGAGAGGAGCUGUCCUUAGUACGAGAGGACCGGGAUGGACAUACCUCUGGUGUACCAGUUGUCGUGCCAACGGCAUAGCUGGGUAGCUAUGUAUGGACGGGAUAAGUGCUGAAAGCAUCUAAGCAUGAAGCCCCCCUCGAGAUGAGAUUUCCCAACUUC
rnacentral:rRNA from 1 species